CUACGGGGGGCUCCAGUAGGGAAUAUUGCACAAUGGACGAAAGUCUGAUGCAGCAACGCCGCGUGUGCGAAGAAGGCCUUCGGGUUGUAAAGCACUUUUGGCGGGGAAGAGGAAGGACAGUACCCGCAGAAUAAGCUUCGGCUAACUACGUGCCAGCAGCCGCGGUAACACGUAGGAAGCGAGCGUUAUCCGGAUUUACUGGGCGUAAAGCGCGUGCAGGCGGUUGGGUAAGUUGGAUGUGAAAGCUCCUGGCUUAACUGGGAGAGGUCGUUCAAGACUGCUCGACUGGAGUGCGAAAGAGGGAGGUAGAAUUCCGAGUGUAGUGGUGAAAUGCGUAGAUAUUCGGAGGAAUACCAGAGGCGAAGGCGGCCUCCUGGUUCGCAACUGACGCUGAGACGCGAAGGCUAGGGUAGCAAACGGGAUUAGAUACCCCAGUAGUC
rnacentral:rRNA from 1 species